rnacentral:rRNA from 1 species
AGAAUCAACGCUGGCGGCGUGCCUAACACAUGCAAGUCGCACGAGAAAGGGUAGCAAUACCUGAGUAAAGUGGCGCACGGGUGAGUAACACGUGAAUAAUCUACCUCCGAGUGGGGAAUAGCUGAGAGAAAUCUUAGCUAAUACCGCAUAACACUUACGAGUCAAAGCAGCAAUGCGCUUGGAGAGGAGUUCGCGGCCGAUUAGUUAGUUGGCGGGGUAAUGGCCCACCAAGGCGAUGAUCGGUA